CGGGGGGGGUGCUUUACCAUGCAAGUCGAACGGUGAUCUCGGUGCUUGCACCGGGUGAUCAGUGGCGAACGGGUGAGUAACACGUGAGCAACCUGCCCCUGACUCUGGGAUAACUUCGGGAAAUCGGAGCUAAUACCGGAUACGAGACGCACGGGCAUCCGUAGCGUCUGGAAAGAAUUUUGGUCAGGGAUGGGCUCGCGGCCUAUCAGCUUGUUGGUGGGGUAACGGCCCACCAAGGCGACGACGGGUAGCCGGCCUGAGAGGGCGACCGGCCACACUGGGACUGAGACACGGCCCAGACUCCUACGGGAGGCAGCAGUGGGGAAUAUUGCACAAUGGGCGAAAGCCUGAUGCAGCGACGCCGCGUGGGGGAUGAAGGCCUUCGGGUUGUAAACCCCUUUCAGCAGGGAAGAAGCGAAAGUGACGGUACCUGCAGAAGAAGCGCCGGCUAACUACGUGCCAGCAGCCGCGGUAAUACGUAGGGCGCAAGCGUUGUCCGGAAUUAUUGGGCGUAAAGAGCUCGUAGGCGGUUUGUCGCGUCUGCUGUGAAAACCCGAGGCUCAACCUCGGGCCUGCAGUGGGUACGGGCAGACUAGAGUGCGGUAGGGGAGACUGGAAUUCCUGGUGUAGCGGUGGAAUGCGCAGAUAUCAGGAGGAACACCGAUGGCGAAGGCAGGUCUCUGGGCCGCAACUGACGCUGAGGAGCGAAAGCAUGGGGAGCGAACAGGAUUAGAUACCCUGGUAGUCCAUGCCGUAAACGUUGGGCACUAGGUGUGGGGCUCAUUCCACGAGUUCCGUGCCGCAGCAAACGCAUUAAGUGCCCCGCCUGGGGAGUACGGCCGCAAGGCUAAAACUCAAAGGAAUUGACGGGGGCCCGCACAAGCGGCGGAGCAUGCGGAUUAAUUCGAUGCAACGCGAAGAACCUUACCAAGGCUUGACAUACACCGGAAACAUCCAGAGAUGGGUGCCCCGCAAGGUCGGUGUACAGGUGGUGCAUGGUUGUCGUCAGCUCGUGUCGUGAGAUGUUGGGUUAAGUCCCGCAACGAGCGCAACCCUCGUCCUAUGUUGCCAGCACAUCAUGGUGGGGACUCAUAGGAGACUGCCGGGGUCAACUCGGAGGAAGGUGGGGAUGACGUCAAAUCAUCAUGCCCCUUAUGUCUUGGGCUUCACGCAUGCUACAAUGGGCCGGU
rnacentral:rRNA from 1 species